GAUUUCCACAUCAAUGAUUUCACGCAAGUGGACUACGACGCUAUCGAUAGCACAGUGAGGAGCAGCAUAAAUCCGGCCGUUUUCCGAGGCAAUUUAGAGACCAUCCUCCCCGCAGAACAUCCGCUGCCGAUCAACGAAAGACCGCGGCGAGAAGACGACGUUAUUUUCGUCUCCGCACACCAAGAGAAUUGCAGAGAAAUACGUUUUAAAACCGAAGCGGUAAUCGAGAAUAUACAGACCCCGCCGCAGCGAAAAGAAGAAGAAGACGACGUUAUUUUCGUCACCGCAUACCAGGAGAACUGCAGGAAAAUACGUUUUAAAUCCGAAGAUGAGAGAAUAUACCUAUUCAAACCCCCGCUACAGACAAUCGGGUGGAGAGAAUAUACCUAUUCAAACCCCCGCUACAGACGAUCGGGCGGAGGAGCGAGAGAAUAUACCAACCGAUACAGAAAAUCGGGCAGAGGAAGCAUCCGGAGCUCCUCCUCUCAGGAGGCUCGGAGGCCGACGGCGAUUUCAUAAGAGGAGGAUCCUCGGAGACCUCGCUUUCAUGUACGCCAUAACCGUCCUUGCCUAUGCAUCAAUAUAUCGACACAAGGAUCUGUAAAGGGAUGCAAAGUAAAAGCAUACACAUGUAGAAAAGUCUGUGAAUUAAGAAAUAAAGAAAAUCAUGUCG
ensembl:lncRNA